rnacentral:tRNA from 1 species
GGCUGUAGCUCAGUGGCAGAACACUUGCCUAGCAUGUGUGAGGUGCUGGGUUUGAUCCUCAGCACCA